UAGGGAAACUACCGAUGCUCGCUGUAGAC
rnacentral:piRNA from 1 species